UGGCAGACGGGUGAGUAACAUGUGGGUAUCUUCCCUUUGGUGAGGAAUAACACGAGGAAACUUGUGCUAAUACCUCAUAAGUCUUUACGGAGAAAGCUUUAUGCGCCAAUGGAUGAGCCCGCACUUGAUUAGUUUGUUGGUGAGGUAACGGCUUACCAAGACUACGACGGCUAGCCGAUGUGAGAGCAUGAUCGGCCACAAGGUCACUGAGACACGGGGCCUACACCUACGGGUGGCAGCAACCGGGAAUUUUGCGCAAUGGACGAAAGUCUGACGCAGCGACACCGCGUGUGGGAUGACGCUCUUCGGAGUGUAAACCACUGUGGCAGGGGAGGAAUUAAUGACAGUACCCUGCUAGAAAGCACCUGCUAACCACGUGCCAGAAGCCUCGGUAAUACGUGGGGUGCAAGCGUUAUCCGGAUUUACUGGGCGUAAAGGGUUCGUCGGCGGUUCGCCAAGUCUGAUGUUUAAGCCCAAGGCUCAACUUUGGAAAAGCAUUAGAAGCUGGUGAACUUGAGUAUGUUAGAGGUAGUUGGAAUUCUUGGUGGAGGGGUGAAAUCCGUAGAUAUCAAGAGGAACGCCGCGCGCGAAGGCAGGCUACUAUGACAUUACUGACGCUCAUGAACGAAAGCUAGGGUAGCAAAAGGGAU
rnacentral:rRNA from 1 species